rnacentral:rRNA from 1 species
CAUACCUAUUCGAAGGGAUAGGGUCGGUUUGGCCGGAUUUCACACAGGUGUUGCAUGGCUGUCGUCAGCUCGUGUCGUGAGAUGUUGGGUUAAGUCCCGCAACGAGCGCAACCCUCAUCCUUAGUUACCAUCAGGUUAUGCUGGGGACUUUAAGGAAACUGCCAGUGAUAAACUGGAGGAAGGUGGGGAUGAUGUCAAGUCAUCAUGGCCCUUAUGGAGGGGGCUACACACGUGCUACAAUGGUGAUUACAAUGGGCUGCAAGGUCGCAAGGCUGAGCUAAUCCUAAAAAAUCAUCUCAGUUCGGAUUGUUCUCUGCAACUCGAGAGCAUGAAGUUGGAAUCGCUAGUAAUCGAGGAUCAGCAUGCCACGGUGAAUACGUUCUCGGGUCUUGUACACACUGCCCGUCACGCCAUGGGAAUUGGUUUCACUCGAAGCU